UACAGAGGGUGCGAGCGUUAAUCGGAAUUACUGGGCGUAAAGCGUGCGUAGACGGCUAUCUAAGUCGGGUGUGAAAGCCCCGGGCUCAACCUGGGAAUUGCAUUCGAGACUGAAUAGCUAGGGUACGGUAGAGGGAAGUGGAAUUUCCGGUGUAGCGGUGAAAUGCGUAGAUAUCGGAAGGAACAUCAGUGGCGAAAGCAGCUCGCUGGGACGGUACUGACGCUGAGACGCGAAAGCGUGGGGAGCAAACAGG
rnacentral:rRNA from 1 species